CAGCGCCACGAGUGGCAAUCGUAUUUAUUUGGCCUAAAGCGUCCGUAGCUGGUUUAGUUAAUCUCUUGUGAAAUUGUUGAGCUUAACUCAACAGCGUGCAGGAGAGACUGCUAAGCUAGGGACCGGGAGGAGUCAGAAGUAUGCCUGGGGGAGCGGUAAAAUGCUAUAAUCCUAGGUAGACUACCUGUGGCGAAGGCGUCUGACUAGAACGGGUCCGACAGUGAGGGACGAAAGCCAGGGGAGCAAACCGGAUUAGAUACCCCUGUAGUCC
rnacentral:rRNA from 1 species